rnacentral:rRNA from 1 species
CCAAUAGCGUAUAUUAAAGUUGUUGCAGUUAAAAAGCUCGUAGUUGAAUUUCGGGAUCAAUACGUCGGUCGUGCUUCGGUACGUACUGGCGUCAUUGAUUUCUCCCUUCUGACGAACCAUGAUGUCAUUAACUUGGUUUCAUGGGAAAUCAGGACUGUUACUUUGAAAAAAUUAGAGUGUUUAAAGCAGGCUCACGCUUGAAUACAUUAGCAUGGAAUAUUGAAAUAGGACGUUCGAUCCUAUUUUGUUGGUUUUAGGAUCAACGUAAUGAUUAAUAGGGAUAGUUGGGGGCAUUAGUAUUCAAUUGUCAGAGGUGAAAUUCUUGGAUUUAUUGAAGACUAACUACUGCGAAAGCAUUUGCCAAGGAUGUUUUCAUUAAUCAAGAACGAAAGUUAGGGGAUCGAAGACGAUCAGAUACCGUCGUAGUCUUAACCAUAAACUAUGCCGACUAGGGAUCGGAUGAUGUUAAUUUUUUAAUGACUCAUUCGGCGCCUUACG